AAUCACUUGUCUUUUAAAUGAGGACCUGUAUGAAAGGUACCACGAGGGCUUAACUGUCUCCUCUCUCAAGUCAAUGAAAUUGAUCUCCCCGUGCAGAAGCGGGGAUAAAACUACAAGACGAGAAGACCCUGUGGAGCUUGAGACGCCUAGGCAGACAACGUCAAUCCCCUCUGAACAAAGACCCAAACCAGUUGGUACCUGCCUUAAUGUCUUCGGUUGGGGCGACCCUGGGGUAACAAAAAACCCCCACAUGGAAUGGGAGCACCAAGCCCACUUUCCACCCAACUCCCACAACUAAGGGCCAUGGCCCUAAUUAACAGAAUUUCUGACCAAACUCGAUCCGGCAAGUCCGAUUAAUAAAACGAGUUACCCCAGGGAUAACAGCGCAAUCCCCUUUCAGAGCCCAUAUCGACAAGGGGGUUUACGACCUCGAUGUUGGAUCAGGACAUCCCAGUGGUGCAGCCGCUACUAAGGGUUCGUUUGUUCAACGAUUAA
rnacentral:rRNA from 1 species